rnacentral:rRNA from 1 species
GAUGAACGCUGGCGGCGUGCCUAAUACAUGCAAGUCGAGCGAACCACUUCGGUGGUGAGCGGCGAACGGGUGAGUAACACGUAGGUGAUCUGCCCAUCAGACGGGGACAACGAUUGGAAACGAUCGCUAAUACCGGAUAGGACGAAAGUUUAAAGGUGCUUCUGGCACCGCUGAUGGAUGAGCCUGCGGCGCAUUAGCUAGUCGGUAGGGUAAAGGCCUACCAAGGCGACGAUGCGUAGCCGACCUGAGAGGGUGAACGGCCACACUGGGACUGAGACACGGCCCAGACUCCUACGGGAGGCAGCAGUAGGGAAUCUUCGGCAAUGGGCGAAAGCCUGACCGAGCAACGCCGCGUGAAUGAUGAAGGCCUUCGGGUCGUAAAAUUCUGUUAUAAGGGAAGAACGACUUUAGUAGGAAAUGGCUAGAGUGUGACGGUACCUUAUGAGAAAGCCACGGCUAACUACGUGCCAGCCGCCGCUGUAACAC